rnacentral:misc_RNA from 1 species
ACCUCCUAACACAGAGCCUAAACUCAGCAAAUGAAACGGCUACCCAAAGGACAGACCCACCAACGCUGCACAAGAUAACUAUAAACAUCGCAGGUUCCUCAAAAGACCCUCUACUUAUCAACAAGACCGGCAUACAACAAACGAAAAACAAAAAAGAGUAUAUACAACCCACCCAGAGGAGGGGAGGGCGACCCACAUCCAAGCAGGGAAAAGGAGAGCCGUCCCUUGCCCCUGCAACCGACGAAGAUCCCGACAAAAAACGAGACCGAGAUCCCAAAGACAAGUCUACUCGAAAGAAAAUUCGCUCCCUAAACUGUUAGAGAGAGAACCUUGUAAGGGUGCGCAAUAACUGCAGAAUAAACGACGUCGUUUCAAUUGCGCGGCUUAAUGAUGAAGGCCCAUAUGUGCCGGCGUCUUUGGUUCAAUCUCGCAAUUUUGUAGUUCUUCAUCAUAAACCCCAGAAGCCCCGACGCCAAAACCCCAAAAGCGUUGAUAGCCGGAGAGCGAGGAAUGGGAAAAGCUGAGAAAGAGAGACUGAAUCAAACUCUUAAUUCACACCUCAACACCAUUCAUGAGACCCUCCAGUUGUUGGAUCAGACACCAGCUUCAUCACUGGAUAAAGUGAGCUGGGAAGAAGUUGUGAAAACGGGUGACCAAGUCUCCAAGCAAGCUACUAUUGUUGGAAUGCUUUGGACUGGGGAAAAACCGGAAUUGAAGGCUGUUGAGGAGAACAUGGCAGCAUACUUCAACACACUGCAGGGUUUCCUUUUGCUUUCUCAUGGAAGUACAGUGGGCGCUGGGCCUACUCUUUCUUCCUGUAUCCAUGCUUCUGUCAAACAAGUAGUUGAUUGUAGCUUUAAGUUGAUGAUGGAAACUGUGUCUUCAUAUGGAUCUCACAAUAAAGACUUAAAACUUGAAGUCCCUCGGUUAGUUGGUUCAGUAUGGGAAGCAUGUUCUGCUCUUAAGAAGACUCCUGCCACAAAUAUCACAGCAAUUGGGCGAGCAAUGACACAAGUUGCAGUUUCAGUGAAGGAUGUUCUUCGUGAGCUGAAGGAGCUCAAGCCAACUUCCUCCAACCUGAAGGAUGAGGCUUGUGAUGAUGGUGCUCCUACAGCAGAAAGUGGCGUCCAAGAUGAUGAUAAUUCAAGUGAUGGCGAGCUAGGCAAUGACUUGUCACCUGAAGAGAUGAAAAUUGCUCAAUCAGCAAUUGGGGUUGUGUCUGAGACAACAGUUGUCAUAAGGGAACUUAUCCGUACAAUCACAGGUAUGCUGAAGCAGGAAAAGCCUGAUGAUGGUAGCAGUUUCGUGGAUUCCUUGGAGAAGUUAUUAAAGCUGUGUCAAGAAAUCGGUGUGCAGAUUGAUGAGCUUGGAGCAUGUCUUUAUCCUCCACAAGAAGUUAUCGCUGUAAAGGCUGCUUUGGAAGAAAUAUCCCGUAUCAUCAGUGAAAUGUUGGCGGUGGUAGAAAGUUUCAAAACCUUUUCAGCAACUUUCUUACAAGCAUGCAUUGGUUUGAGGAGUUCAAUAACACACAUGGAAUCUGAACUAGACAACACCUGUACAACUGAUAUAGCAGCCAAAAUGCAGAAUGUUGCCGUCAGCGAUUAGAAAGAGAGAGAGAGAGGUGAUGGGUGCUGAUCCUUGGUUGUCAUUAAGCAUUUACGCUGCCCCAAGGAGCAGUAACCUUCUUGCUUUUUAAUUAAACCCCCACCUUUCAAAUUAGUAUUAAUUUUAAUUAUCCUCAUUGAUCACAACAAAUCAAACUGGAGAUUUCGUGACUAAUUAUCCUUCAUUCCUUUUUACGGAUAACUACAAAUCUAAUAAUAUGUAUAAUAUGUUUACAUCCUUUGGGCAAAUAUGCAAAGGCCAUUCAUGCCCUUUAUAUGCACUGACCACUGAGAACAAAUCUCCUGCACUGACGCCUGUGAAAAAACCAGUCAUCGGCCUGUGAGCUUGACCAUCCAUGCACCACCCAAAUAAAGACCGAGAAGAGGUGCUGCUAAAAGCAUCUGGGUAAGAGGAUCAGUUGAUGGUGUGAGUACAGCGGCUGCAACAACUGCCCCAACAACCACAUAUCUCCAAAUUGACAGCAUUUGGUCUCCUGACACUAGACCGGCUUGUCCAAGUAGAAAUUGUAUAACAGGAACCUGUAGAAAUAAUAUUCCAUUAUCAACCAGAUCAAGGAAAACUGCAAAGUUUCCAGCAGUUCAACUGCAUAAUGUGGUUAUUUAAAUUAUAAUGAUCACAAUGACGAAAAUUGACAACCCACAGGCGAUCUCUGAGAACACAUUAAUAUUACUACUCUUAAAUGUUCAUACGACCAAGCCACAUACAAAAAUCCCCAAACCUGGGCAAAAAGUAGAGUAGCAUGAAUCAGAAGUACUCGGUAAAAGAAAGCUUCGUUUAUUGUACCAAUAGAAUAAUAACAUCUUAUUUGACAAAGCAAGAUAAUGAAACUAAUUUUGAACCCCAGGAGGCUGACAUUGCAUAUGCUAAUCCCAGUUUGUUGGUUAAAUAUAUCCUCCAUAUACAUAAUAAUAAAUGCAGAGACAAAGAGAAAGAGGAGAGGGUGCAGAAGAUUUACCUGAAAAGACAGACCUGUGCUGAACAUUAGCACAAGCACAAACUCAAAAUAUUGGUCAAUAGACCAUAAAGAUUCCACAGCCCCUUCUGCAUAACUAACAAAAAAAUUUAAAGCUGCUGGAGUUAGAACCGAAUAGGAGAAGACAAUUCCAGCAUAGAAGAGUAUCGAGGAGCCUAAAACAAUUGGCCCCAAGAACCUUCUUUCUUCUCUUGUUAAGCCUGGAAGAACAAAAGCUAUAAUCUCAUAAAGAAUAAUUGGGCUUCCCACAAGAAGGCCACAGUAGCCUGAUACCUGCAAGGCACAAAAAGUUUUUAUUACUAUUGGCAUGCCCAACUGAAACCAAACAACUUUUUACUCAAUGGGGAUACUAAAAAUGAAACUCAAUUACCAUGGACUGCUAGAUAUGUUGAAAUAGAAAAAGCACAUAUUAAGGAAUUAGCUUGUUGAAGGUAUAAAGUAUCAGGGCGCCAAUAGUCAUAGAUACCAGGGUUUCAAUAAAUGUGGAGAACGCAACCAUCCUAGCAGAAAGGUAAUAACAUUGGAUUUCAGAUUUCCAAUAGGCACACCCACUCCUUCAGAUGCUUUAUGAUUCCUUUCUCACCAAACAGACCACAUUAGUGAGGCAUGCCUUUCAAAAGAGUAUGAAUUUAUCCAGCAUAGAAACUAGAAAGUCAUAGUAACCAUAUUUUCAGGUAUAAAAAAUAUAGAUUAAGAAAUUCCUUGUCUAUAUAAAUGCCUUGCAAUGACAACACCAUACACUGAAAUUGCAUUAUGCAAAGGUAAUUUUAGAAAGUUGGCCUCACGAAAAAUGUUCUAUAGCAAAUCCUUUUCAUUUUCCACAUAUGCAAUUACAUGCUUUGAGUAUUUUCAUCUGUUCUCUUUUUGUAAUCUUGCUAUUCUUGUUCUACCUUUCCAUUUUUCUUUUAUAUUCUAUGGUAUUAAACUUUUACUACUAAUCUUGUGAAUGAUGAAACACAUUUAAGCAUUCAAAGCAAGUCUGACUUCAGUGUAGUCUUGAAUUUCUAGUUUGUCAGUACAUCACAGUAAAUAAGACCACUUGAUAAGAACACUAAUCACAGUGUGCAGGUGUGAUAGACAGCCAUCAGCGCUGCCCUUGUUUUCCACAACUUUCUGGAGGUUGGUACAACAUAUAAAAAUGAAUAAUCAACUUAAUGUCAUCACUCAUUCUUACACAAUUGGGCGGCGGUGUCAUUGUCAGGCAUUUAUAUUCUAUUAGCAGCAUAAUCAUUACAAACAUGAAGGCAAAAUUCAAUUGAAAAUGAAAGAAGAACAAAAGAAAAGCAUAGCAAUCCCUAUUUUCAUUAUUAUGGUAAACACAUAUCAUGAAGUUCCUGAUUAAUCCCUUGAAUUUCAGAACUAGGUAGCUAGUAGCCUAAUAGUUGCACCAAUGUCCACCCAGAAUCCGGAAACAUAGGUCUUUUAGGUGCCUCAAAGAAAAUAGAGGCUGCAGAUAUGGCCAACCAAGGCAACAUAAAAUCCAACUUCGCCAUCUAGUCUGAUACCAAAAACCAUUUCCCUCUUCUUCUUUUUUUCCCUUCAUUUCUAAUUUGGACUGGCAACAUUAGAUAAUUGCAAAUCAUAAAACAAUUUUAAAGGCAAGAAGUAUGUUAGUUCCCUCUAACCUUCAAUGUUGUAAAGAAAAACUCUCCUGGAGCUAUUUGCAGAAAUCGUACACCCUGUGCUUUAACAGGAGCUUCAAGAACCAUAAUGAGUUCUUUUGAAAAUGCAAAGCAUCCCAAUAUAGCAGCUCCAACAGCCAAAACUGACACAAAUAUUCUCUGACGCAGCUCUUCAAGAUGAUCAAAUAUACUCAUUUCUUUAUCAUCAGGAAGGAGCUCUUUACUGGGAUACAGGAAAUCAUAAAGUGCACUUCCUUCAGUAUUUUGAGCAGAGUUUUCUUGUGAGCUGUCAAGCAUAUCAGGCCUAUCCUCGAGAGCCGAGCCGACACCUCCACCAGUAGUAGAGCUAGUAGUAGGUAACUCCGGCUGCUUCUCGCCGAUAUCAUCAUCGACAGCAGCGAAACAAACGACUCUACUGAAACUUGCGGUGCUCCGCAAACCACCGAAUCUCAACCUCCGUCUCCUCGACGACGACGAAGUCAGUUGUUGUUGUUGGUUUCUAAUAGAGAGGAAGCGCUUACAGAAGCAGCCAUGGAGCUGCAAAUGGGCGACGAAAGCGGUGCUCGUACUUCCCAUCUUUCUAUCUCUGCUAUUGUUUUAUCUUUUCCUGUCCAA